GACGAACGCUGGCGGCGUGCUUAACACAUGCAAGUCGAACGGAAAGGCCCUGCUUUUGUGGGGUGCUCGAGUGGCGAACGGGUGAGUAACACGUGAGUAACCUGCCCUUGACUUUGGGAUAACUUCAGGAAACUGGGGCUAAUACCGGAUAGGAGCUCCUGCUGCAUGGUGGGGGUUGGAAAGUUUCGGCGGUUGGGGAUGGACUCGCGGCUUAUCAGCUUGUUGGUGGGGUAGUGGCUUACCAAGGCUUUGACGGGUAGCCGGCCUGAGAGGGUGACCGGCCACAUUGGGACUGAGAUACGGCCCAGACUCCUACGGGAGGCAGCAGUGGAGAAUAUUGCACAAUGGGCGGAAGCCUGAAGCAGCAACGCCGCGUGCGGGAUGACGGCCUUCGGGUUGUAAACCGCUUUCGCCUGUGACGAAGCGUGAGUGACGGUAAUGGGUAAAGAAGCACCGGCUAACUACGUG
rnacentral:rRNA from 1 species